UCAUGCAUCUCGCGAAAUCAAAAUGCGGCCAUAUUAGCAGUGUGUUCUGUAAUAACGCAAGGAAUGUCCAGACACGACUUUGUUUGAAUGCACAACUUUAUGUACCUACGUUAAAAAAACAAACAAACAAACAAAAAUGUUUUUAACAACAACGUCGUAACAUUGCCGUAAAUCAGAGUACCGUAAACUUUGUAAUGACAUUUACUUGUAGCUAAUGCUAUGGGCAACAGGUGAAUUUGAACAAAAGAGAAGGAAUAAAAUAAGGUUGGCAGAUAGCUGUUGUACCCUGGGAUUCCGGAACAGCCUGGCGGGCAUUUUACAGAACUUCCUGAAAGAUGACAAAAGUGGAUAAGCGCAAUUUAACAAGCCAAAAAACGAUCAGAAAAAAGGAGCGGUGGGAACCUAUGGACAACGGCUUCCGAUAAUACAGCGAUCACUUCAUAUCAGCCCCAUCUGUGGAUCUGUGAAACAUUCCAGGGCACUGAGAAGCCUUGGACGAGCUGCGGAGGAAGCACGGUCUGUUUGUAUAAGAGCUUGAACAGGUGGACAGUAACCAUCAGUCUGGCGGUCAGGGGUUUUGAAGAAGAGAGAGGCAGAGGAGGAGGAGGAGGUCGAUCCUCUCACAGCUGUUCUAUAUGUAACCGUCCUGUCCGAAUCUCCAAACACCUCAGUCUGGUCUGAACUUCAUUUUCUCACGCCUCUCCUUCCUCUGAUCAGACCCUCUGGGACGGUGAUCUUUCAUCCCCACUGCUGUAAUGUCAAGCAUCCCUAUCACAUAGCAGUGCAGGAUAUUCCAGUGCAACACAGGAGGAAUGUUCUUCCAUGUGUCAGGAGGUGCAGAAAGGCAUGACUGUUCCUCCCCUACUCUCCUCUCCUUUCCUCUCCUCUCCUCUCUCCUCACAGGCAGGAUGUUAUGUUAGGGGCUUAUAGCUGUAGGCUGAUGAUAACUGACUUCCACUACUGUAAUUGCUCUCUAAUUACACUGUACUUCUGUUUGUGUGUUAACAUGCGUAAUUACAUAUCUGCCUGUCUCUGCUCGUGUUAGGCGCCGGAACAGAUUUAAAGAGGAGCAAAGAAGGAAAAAGUAGAGGUAAACUGGAGACUGGCACUUCUUCUCACAUAUUAGAGGCAGAUUUGCGUCUGCGUCCAUGACAGUUGUUGUGGUUCCUCUGCUCUCUGUCUAACAAAACAACUGUAAACUUAAAAGCCACCACCUUCAUGAAGCACUCACAACCUCCAACUCCACCAAAUCUAUCUGUUGAUUUUAGCAGUUUUUUAAAAUCCAUUAUUAGGAUUUUUCCUUGUUUGUAGUUUCUGUUGUCAUUUAUGUUAAAUUUGUUCAGUGACUGAGAGAAAAAUGUGUCUAUAAAUUAAUAAUUGUCAUUAAUGUCAUUAAUUCCCUUUUUCUUUCACAGUUCCCUUAACUUUGAAUGUGUCUUCAAGAUACUUGAGUCACACAAGUUCGAGGAGCUGUCCACUCCAAGUGCUGCUCCAGAUGUUCCUGUCUGCACCAGCAGAAAAACAACAACCUCAUUCACCGUGGUGAAACACAGCAGCUCUACAGUGCGCCUGCACGUCGAUAAACCCUUUUUGAUCCUGAGGUCAUAUCGCUGAAGGGGUAGAAUGUUGGCUGAUGGGGUAUCAUCAUUUCAGAAGGAUGACUGGACCUCAGAUGUCGAUGUUAAAUGAGGAGUUUGGAGGAGAGCCACUUUUUCCCCCUGACAAGAGGAGUCAUUCGAGGUGGUGCAAGCAUCUAAUUAGGAUUCAUCCCGACUUGCUAUCUUUGGAUGUUUUCCAGGCUCAACUCUCCGGGAGGAGACCCAAGGACGCAGCUGCAUAUAUAAAGACACUUCUGAACGAUCCAGCCUUCCUGUCCAUCUGGCAGCUCAUCUAUUAGCUCAGCUGUUAGGUCCACUUGGACAGAAGACACACCAGCGCCCAGUCCGCUCUUGUGUUUUUUUCAUUCCGUAUGGACGUAUGCAUUGGGACAUCUGGACAAAGCUUCAAGGACUCUGGUGAUCCGUGACAUGAAUGUGGAACUUUCAACGUACCCAGGUUCCCCCUCAGAGAGUUCUCCUUCCAUGGACUGGACUUGUGUGGACUGGAGAGCUUGUUGCCAGUGGAGACUUGUCUUUGAUGUUCCCUGUGGUUUCUGAGUGAUGAGGUGAGACGUAGAGUGAAGCAGACACACGAUCACCACAACUGACGAGCAGACAUGAGAUGAUGUGACGUACGACCUGUGGGAGUUAGUGAAGUUCUUACCUCAGCUCCUAUACAACCGUGGUCACCAACACUAUUUGCAUCACAGACUGGUUGAUACAGGAUAAUUUAGGGUGCAGAG